UAUGAGUCGUUCGAACUUAACUGGACUGAAUAUCAUAAAAUUCCUAAUUUAUUUAAGCAAGUUAUUGAGAAUGUUCUAUGAGUGAGUUGUUUUUAUAAACUUGUGUUUGUUAUAAGCAAGUAAUUACUUUUGAUAAAUAAGGUGAAAUAAGACUAGAACCUCGUUUCAAACACGUAAGAAAUAAUUUACGGACGCUUUGUAGUACAUUUCCAGUACUAUGCACAUUCACAGUUCGUACGAAAAUGGCCGUAAUCUUUAUGGUUGUAUAAUCAAUGUUGACAAGCAUGUCAGGGAGUUCCCAUCGUCAAAGGCUUAUCUGGGCAAGUGAUUUGAAGUCACGCAAUCCAUGUCCUUCUCUGCUCUCGUGAACAUUGAUCGCGUCAUGACCCGGAUUAGGAGAGGUCUUGGUUUCAAAUUACAACGUUACCUAAAUAGAUGGCAUUUCGUCUAUUUCAUGAUUGAUUCACUCCUUCGGGUACGACAUUGACGAGGCGACGCCACGACGACGACAUCAAUUACGUCUACGCUGUACUUACUUAUAUUGGCUGAAUGGAAGGUAGAAGUGGACUUUCAGCCUGCUUUCACUAAAAGCAAAAUUGAUGUCAUCCUAAUGUGUUUGCUUUCUCUGGCCGAGUAAUAUAACACGACUGUCACCUUAAUUCUUUUGAUGGAAACGGAAGCCCGAUUCUAUCGGAAAAAAUUGAAGGAUACUAACUGUGGACAUUUCUUGGAUUCGAAUUGAAUUAUAAGAUAUUUAAAUGAAUUCUGACAUCGUAGCACUAAUUUACAAACCAUGUUUGGUUUUCUUUCAGUGAGAAGAACGUUAAUUUAACGAGUAGAAACAGUUCAAACCCAAUCGUGUGGUCUCGUUAAUGAAUAAAAUCUAAUUUCAUGCUGCGACCUAAGCCUUAGCUGGUACAUAUAUCAACUAGGCAUACUUAUAAUCACGUAGAAUAUAGUAGCAACCUCAUUACAGAAACUACUGAUAUAAUUGUGGACCACAAUUUGUGGUCGUUUGGAAAAUUUUCCAUCAGUGUCUGGCAAACUACAUAAAAUUGAUUUAAUUGUUAAAACAAAAGUUUCUUAUCGACUAAGGGUUCAAUUUAAGUGGUGCAACUUUUUGUUCUCAAACUUUGCAUGUACAUGUAAAAGCUCCAAAUAAGUGAGUAUAUUCUUUACUCACUGCCAGAAGAUUGAAUUAGGGCGCAGCACUUAUUACUAUGUUGCACAAGUUAGUGAUGAAGUAAAUUCGCAUUCCUCGGUCGAUCCUGGUAGCCUACAACGAGUCCUAAUGUUUUUUCUGUGUCUCUGAAAAAAUGAAACUUUGGACGAAACAAUAUAGUGACAAAUGAACAGAAAGGAUUCACAAUUUCUUGUGGAAUGAGGACUAGUUGCUGUAUAUUAAAGUAUAUGAAUAGAUACAGUUAUAUACACUGAUUUAGUACGUCACAAAUUCCCGUGAGGGAGGAGAAGAUCAAAUGGGGCAUCUCGAAAGGACAAUAAAAUUGUAUACCUUUGCGUGUAUUUAGUUCCUGCUGUUUCUUUAAUAUGCUCCAAUUAAACAAAAUGAGCACAACUCCAACUUUUUGGUGAAAGUCGACUUCCUACUUUACGAAUUCUUGACAUGGCUAAAAUUAGUUGGCUAAACCUGAUUUGCAUAGUUGUAUAAUCUAUGUAUUUAUAUACGCCAUAAGCAAGUACGAAAAGUCAUUUUGACGGGGUGACUGGGUUGAAUAAUUUAUUCUUAUUCCUGUGACUAAUAAGGAAUCAUGGAUAAGAAAGAGAAAUUUCCUGUACCAAAUCUGCGCCAUAAUUCAUUCUUUUACAUAAAUUUAUCACGACCAUUUCUUUCCUGCCUGCCUGCUCAGGUACUUAAAGGUUGGUGCAUUCGAGCAAAGAGAAUAAAUGAUCUUUCUCCCUUUCUGCAAGCGUAAUAAAAAUGAGUGGCAGAUGGUCCGAAUGGAUCAUAUCCUGCCAGCCCCAAUUGACAGAAUACCCAGUUACACGGAGGUUGACAUUUUGGCAACCCCUCUCAACUUUGAUAUUGUAACCGGAUCUCCAUAUACAUACAUCUAGUUCAAAUAAAUGACAGUACUUUAAUUUCAUUGGAGAUUUAAUAAUUAAAGCACAAUACAUAAUCGCUUGCCAGCAAAGAGUUGAGAAAAUCCCAGAUUGCGAGAGUCUUGGAAAUAAUUGUACGCUGCAGGUUUAGUUUACCAUUAUGAAUCAAUUUCCAGAAUAUUUGAGUCAUUUUCGUACAUAAAGUAGAAAAAGAACUAUAAUGAAUGAAUUUGGUUUGUAGGAGAAAAUUAAUAAAAGCAUAUGUUGAUAAUAAGCCUUCAAACUGAUCAAACUACAUUGUGGUAGCUAUCAUUAAGCGUAGAGCACAUACAUAACGCUGUCACGUCAAAAGGUAAAAAUAUAGCAUGGAUGUAUGCACCUAGGCACAAUUAUGAUGAUUAAAGUAAGAGCGAUUAACUGCCCUCACAAAGUUACAUAUUAGAACUUACUAGCACUAAUUAAAUGCAUUGUGCCACUUACAUAAUACGUAUUUACUUAUGUAAGAUCGUCUGAAUUUGAUCAAGCUUGUUGUGCUUGAAGACGGACAAGCCUUCUUGGGCAAUCAAGUGUGUGCUGAGUUGUUUUCUCUGCGUUUUCUCGUGUCUUUAUCUUAACUAGAAAUCUUGAGUAUUAUGACUUUAACUCGAGACAGUGGCAAGUUCUUGUUGCUGUUUCCUGCUGGUCAUAAUUCCUUCUUCGCUGAUAAGAAGCAUUAUUUUGUCUCCUGAGAAUUACGAGGUAUUACAAUGUGUACAUACAUAUAAAUAUGUACCACAUAUCAAGGUCGUAUGUACAAAAAUAACCGUAGAAGGUAUACUAAAUGUAAUAAAUGAUAAAUAACUUUGACCAUGUUUUGAUUUCAAGAUCUUUUGUAAUCGACUGAAGAAGCCUGUAAAGUGUAGGUCUAAGCUAGCAAUUAUUAAAAUAAAUCAAGUUAUUAUACACCAAUUUAUACACCAAUUAGAAAAAUGGUUGUUAAUAAAUAAUUUUGCUUGUA